rnacentral:rRNA from 1 species
GGAGGCGAACCCGGGGAAGUGAAACAUCUCAGUACCCGGAGGAGAAGAAAUCAAGCGAGAUUCCCAAAGUAGCGGCGAGCGAAAUGGGAAGAGCCCAAACCGUGUGCUUUCGAGCAUGCGGGGUUGUAGGACCUUCACAAGCGAUCCGUGAGUAGGCAGGGGAACAGGCUGGGAAGCCUGGCAGCAUAGGGUGAAAGCCCCGUACCCGAAACCGAACAGCGGCGUGGAAGGCACCUGAGUACUGCGGGACACGUGAAAUCCCGUGGGAAUCUGGGAGGACCAUCUCCCAAGGCUAAAUACUCCCUAGCGACCGAUAGUGUACCAGUACCGUGAGGGAAAGGUGAAAAGAACCCCUGUUAGGGGAGUGCAAUAGAACCUGAAACCAGUUGCCUACAAGCUGUGGGAGCGGACUUGUUCCGUGACCGCGUGCUUUUUGCAUAACGGGCCAGCGAGUUAAUCUGUAGUGCGAGGUUAAGCGUGAGCGGAGCCGUAGCGAAAGCGAGUCCGAAUAGGGCGAUUAGUACUGCGGAUUAGACCCGAAGCCGGGUGAUCUAUCCAUGGGCAGGUUGAAGCUCAGGUAAAACUGAGUGGAGGACCGAACCGAUGUAAGUUGAAAAUUGCUCGGAUGACCUGUGGAUAGGGGUGAAAGGCCAAUCAAACCCGGUGAUAGCUGGUUCUCCCCGAAAUAUAUUGAGGUAUAGCCUCGGAUUAGUUUCACGGAGGUAGAGCACUGACAGGGCUAGGGGUCCCACCAGAUUACCAAACCCUAUCAAACUCCGAAUGCCGUGAAAUGAUGUCCGGGAGUCAGACUGCGGGUGCGAAGGCCCGUAGUCGAGAGGGAAAGAGCCCAGAUCGACAGCUAAGGUCUCAAAGUCCAUGCUCAGUGGGAAAGGUAGUGACGCUGCCUAGACAUCCAGGAGGUUGGCUUAGAAGCAGCCAUCCUUUAAAGAAAGCGUAAUAGCUCACUGGUCUAAUGACUCUGCGCCGAAAAUGUAACGGGGCUAAGCAUGGUACCGAAGCCACGGGCUCACGCUAGUCGUGAGCGGUAGGGGAGCGUUCCCUGCGGGACGAAGGUCAAUCCGGAAGGAAGGCUGGACUGCAGGGAAGUGAUUAUGCUGGCAUGAGUAACGAUAAAACGAGUGAGAAACUCGUUCGCCGUAAGCCCAAGGUUUCCUGGGUAAAGUUAAUCUUCCCAGGGUGAGUCGGUCCCUAAGGCGAGGCCGAAAGGCGUAGUUGAUGGGAAACGGGUUAAUAUUCCCGUACCUGUGCGUGGGCGCGAUGGAGGGACGCAGAAGGGUAGACCGUCCGGCUGUUGGAUGCCGGUGCAAGCGUGUAGGCUUGAGGGGCAGGCAAAUCCGCUCCUCUUCAAGGCCGAGACGUGAUGCCGUGACUUUAUCGUCUGAAGCGGUUGAUCCCAUGCUGCCGAGAAAAGCUUCUAAGUUUACCACGUACAGACCGUACCGCAAACCGACACAGGUGGGCGGGGUGAGCAACCCAAGGCGCUUGAGAGAACUCUGGCUAAGGAACUCGGCAAAAUGACCCCGUAACUUCGGGAUAAGGGGUGCCCCCUAGGGUCUAGUAUUUACUACGAAAGCCUCGGGGGGCCGCAGUGAAACGGUGGUGGCGACUGUUUACUAAAAACAUAGGUCUGUGCGAAGUCGUAAGACGACGUAUACGGACUGACGCCUGCCCGGUGCCGGAAGGUUAAGGGGUGGGGUUAGCGCAAGCGAAGCUCUAAACCGAAGCCCCGGUAAACGGCGGCCGUAACUAUAACGGUCCUAAGGUAGCGAAAUUCCUUGUCGGGUAAGUUCCGACCUGCACGAAUGGCGUAACGAUCUCCGCGCUGUCUCGGCCAGAGACUCAGUGAAAUUG